CAGGUGAAACUUGUCUAGUGAGGUGACUGGAGAGCCAAGGCAUGAAGGAGUCACCACAGAGUGAGACCAGGAGAAGGUGUGCAGUAAGCAGAAGAAAGGAGCCUGGAAGAAGCUACUCCCCAGAGCAGCCAGGAGGAGGUGUCCCUAGUGGCAUCUCCCACGGGAGUUUUGCCAUCGAUGUCAAUGGGGCCAGACUUCACCCUCGGACUUCGUUCCUUUAACCCAUCUGGCAGAUUCCUGUUCUCUUCCUUCCACCAAGUCCUCUAUUGUCUCCUGUGCACAUCAGCUCCCGCCCUCCUUGUUUUCCUUGUCUCUGGGAUCUUCAUUCUCAUGUUUUUGAGAUGACUUAUUUGUCGUUAUCAUCAUCUUGGGAUCUGAGAGCUUUCCUACUGAUACCCCAGUGUUGUAGAGAAAUGGGCUCUCUCUGACUGUGAGUCUGUCCCAAAACAUAGGCCAAACCUCAACCCCUAAGCUAGCCUGGUGAGUUUCACACAUCUUGCUGUUCAAGCAUCUCCUUUUAAAUAAGCCAUUCAAACUGGGCUUCCCCUAUUUGCUUUUCACGUACAAGUAGAACAGGUCUCCGGAGAAGCUGAUGUUCUCAGACAACCUCUGCAAACUCCAGUUGUUGCCAUGAUAACUGCAUAGUCCUUGCCAAAUGUUAAUUGCUUUCUCUCUCCCUUAAAGUGUUGCUCUUACCACCCUCACAUCUUUACGUGCUUUUUAUAUAUAAACAAUCUGGUUUUGCUUUUGGGUGGAUUUUAAUUAAAAAAAAAAAAAACUUU